CCUACGGGAGGCAGCAGUGAGGAAUAUUGGUCAAUGGACGAGAGUCUGAACCAGCCACGUAGCGUGAAGGAUGACUGCCCUAUGGGUUGUAAACUUCUUUUAUAUGGGAAUAAAAUGUUCCACGUGUGGGAUUUUGUAUGUACCAUAUGAAUAAGGAUCGGCUAACUCCGUGCCAGCAGCCGCGGUAAUACGGAGGGUCCGAGCGUUAUCCGGAUUUAUUGGGUUUAAAGGGAGCGUAGGUGGAUUGUUAAGUCAGUUGUGAAAGUUUGCGGCUCAACCGUAAAAUUGCAGUUGAAACUGGCAGUCUUGAGUACAGUAGAGGUGGGCGGAAUUCGUGGUGUAGCGGUGAAAUGCUUAGAGAUCACGAAGAACUCCGAUUGCGAAGGCAGUUCACUGGACUGCAACUGACACUGAGGCUCGAAAGUGUGGGUAUCAAACAGGAUUAGAUACCCUAGUAGUC
rnacentral:rRNA from 1 species